CCAACGGCCCUCUUUAGGGCCACAAAUCUCAAUAAUCCAAAACAUUU
rnacentral:ncRNA from 13 species